GCUUAGACGCCCUGACCUUGAGGAUGAUUUUUGGCAAAGCUCGUUAGACUGAUAAAUGCGUUUCAGUUGCAUUUCCCCCAGACAUAGACAUUGAGUAUAUAUCGAUGCUGGUCUCGUCUGAAAAAUAGGAUUGUUUUUAGC
ensembl:snoRNA snoRNA:Me28S-A2629 snoRNA:Me28S-A2629